AUGCAAGUCGAGCGGUAGCACAGAGAGCUUGCUCUCGGGUGACGAGCGGCGGACGGGUGAGUAAUGUCUGGGAAACUGCCUGAUGGAGGGGGAUAACUACUGGAAACGGUAGCUAAUACCGCAUAACGUCGCAAGACCAAAGUGGGGGACCUUCGGGCCUCAUGCCAUCAGAUGUGCCCAGAUGGGAUUAGCUAGUAGGUGGGGUAACGGCUCACCUAGGCGACGAUCCCUAGCUGGUCUGAGAGGAUGACCAGCCACACUGGAACUGAGACACGGUCCAGACUCCUACGGGAGGCAGCAGUGGGGAAUAUUGCACAAUGGGCGCAAGCCUGAUGCAGCCAUGCCGCGUGUGUGAAGAAGGCCUUCGGGUUGUAAAGCACUUUCAGCGGGGAGGAAGGCGAUAAGGUUAAUAACCUUGUCGAUUGACGUUACCCGCAGAAGAAGCACCGGCUAACUCCGUGCCAGCAGCCGCGGUAAUACGGAGGGUGCAAGCGUUAAUCGGAAUUACUGGGCGUAAAGCGCACGCAGGCGGUCUGUCAAGUCGGAUGUGAAAUCCCCGGGCUCAACCUGGGAACUGCAUUCGAAACUGGCAGGCUAGAGUCUUGUAGAGGGGGGUAGAAUUCCAGGUGUAGCGGUGAAAUGCGUAGAGAUCUGGAGGAAUACCGGUGGCGAAGGCGGCCCCCUGGACAAAGACUGACGCUCAGGUGCGAAAGCGUGGGGAGCAAACAGGAUUAGAUACCCUGGUAGUCCACGCCGUAAACGAUGUCGAUUUGGAGGUUGUGCCCUUGAGGCGUGGCUUCCGGAGCUAACGCGUUAAAUCGACCGCCUGGGGAGUACGGCCGCAAGGUUAAAACUCAAAUGAAUUGACGGGGGCCCGCACAAGCGGUGGAGCAUGUGGUUUAAUUCGAUGCAACGCGAAGAACCUUACCUGGUCUUGACAUCCACAGAACUUAGCAGAGAUGGUUUGGUGCCUUCGGGAACUGUGAGACAGGUGCUGCAUGGCUGUCGUCAGCUCGUGUUGUGAAAUGUUGGGUUAAGUCCCGCAACGAGCGCAACCCUUAUCCUUUGUUGCCAGCGGUUCGGCCGGGAACUCAAAGGAGACUGCCAGUGAUAAACUGGAGGAAGGUGGGGAUGACGUCAAGUCAUCAUGGCCCUUACGACCAGGGCUACACACGUGCUACAAUGGCAUAUACAAAGAGAAGCGACCUCGCGAGAGCAAGCGGACCUCAUAAAGUAUGUCGUAGUCCGGAUUGGAGUCUGCAACUCGACUCCAUGAAGUCGGAAUCGCUAGUAAUCGUAGAUCAGAAUGCUACGGUGAAUACGUUCCCGGGCCUUGUACACA
rnacentral:rRNA from 1 species